UACGUAGGUGGCAAGCGUCGUCCGGAAUUAUUGGGCGUAAAGCGCGCGCAGGCGGCCUUUUAAGUCUGAUGUGAAAGCCCACGGCUUAACCGUGGAAGGUCAUUGGAAACUGGAAGGCUUGAGGAUAGAAGAGGAAAGUGGAAUUCCACGUGUAGCGGUGAAAUGCGUAGAGAUGUGGAGGAACACCAGUGGCGAAGGCGACUUUCUGGUCUAUAACUGACGCUGAGGCGCGAAAGCAUGGGGAGCAAACAGG
rnacentral:rRNA from 1 species